AUUGAACGCUGUCGGCAGGCCUAACACAUGCAAGUCGAACGAGUGGCGGACGGGUGAGUAAUGUCUGGGAAACUGCCCGAUGGAGGGGGAUAACUACUGGAAACGGUAGCUAAUACCGCCUACCAUCGGAUGUGCCCAGAUGGGAUUAGCUAGUAGGUGGGGUAACGGCUCACCUAGGCGACGAUCCCUAGCUGGUCUGAGAGGAUGACCAGACACACUGGAAAUGAGACACGGUCCAGACUCAUACGGGAGGCAGCAGUGGGGAAUAUUGCACAAGGGGCGCAAGCCUGAUGCAGCCAUGCCGCGUGUAUGAAGAAGGCAUUCGGGUUGUAAAGUACUUUCAGCGAGGAGGCGUUACUCGCAGAAGAAGCACAGGCUAACUCCGUGCCAGCAGCCGCGGUAAUUC
rnacentral:rRNA from 1 species